rnacentral:rRNA from 1 species
UACAUGGGGUGCAAACGUUGCUCGGAAUCAUUGGGCGUAAAGCGCGCGUAGGCGGUCGCUCAAGUCGGAUGUGAAAUCCCUCGGCUUAACUGAGGAAGUGCAUCCGAGACUGAACGGCUAGAGUACGAAAGAGGGUCGCGGAAUUCCCGGUGUAGAGGUGAAAUUCGUAGAUAUCGGGAGGAACACCGGCGGCGAAGGCGGCGACCUGGGUCGAGACUGACGCUGAGGCGCGAAAGCGUGGGGAGCAAACAGG